rnacentral:ncRNA from 1 species
AGAAAAUCAAUGAUGAGCAUUAGGUAAACAACCUAGUUACAGCGAACUAACGGAUGGUGAAAGGUUAGGACAAAUGGUUGUUAACCUUGAUCAGCUCAGAGAGUUUAGCUGAACGUAGUAAGCUAAGCCGGGUGGUACCCGUUAUAAACUAAUGAGGAGGUUCAAUUAACAAUUGAACCUUGAAUCAGGGUGGUACCACGAAGACUUCGUCCCAUAU